CCCCACUGCUAUCGAGGUGGGACUAAGCCAUGCUAGUCGAACGACCCGGACUAUGGCGGGAAGUGGCAGACUGCUCAGUAACACGUAGCUAACCUACCCUUGGGACGGGUACAACCCCGGGAAACUGAGGUUAAUACCCGAUAGGUGUGGAAUCCUGGAAUGGUACCACGCCCAAAUGUAAACGCAUCCAUGUUUGCGUACACGCCCGAGGAUGGGGCUGCGGCCGAUCAGGCAGUUGGUGAGGUAACGGCUCACCAAGCCUUUGACCGGUACGGGCCAUGAGAGUGGUAGCCCGGAGAUGGGCACUGAGACAAGGGCCCAGGCCCUACGGGGCGCAGCAGGCGCGAAACCUCCACAAUUCACGAAAGUGAGAUGGGGUUACCUCGAGUGCCGUCUGAAGAAGGCGGCUUUUCCAUUGUGUAAUGAGCCGUGGGAAUAAGAGGGGGGCAAGACUGGUGUCAGCCGCCGCGGUAACACCAGCCCCUCGAGUGGUGGGGAUGAUUAUUUGGCCUAAAGCGUCCGUAGCCUGCUCUGUAAAUCUUUCGUUAAAUCCAGCGUCCUAAGCGUUGGGCUGCGAGAGAGACUGCAGAGCUAGAGGGUGGGAGAGGUCAGCGGUAUUCCUGGGGUAGGGGCGAAAUCCAUUGAUCCCAGGAGGACCACCAGUGGCGAAGGCUGCUGACUAGAACACGCCUGACGGUGAGGGACGAAAGCUGGGGUAGCGAAUCGGAUUAGAUACCCGAGUAGUCCCAGCCGUAAACGAUGCAGGCUAGGUGUUGGGUUGGCCACGUGCCAGCUCAGUGCCACAGGGAAGCCAUUAAGCCUGCCGCCUGGGGAGUACGGCCGCAAGGCUGAAACUUAAAGGAAUUGGCGGGGGAGCACCACCAGGCGUGAAGCCUGCGGUUUA
rnacentral:rRNA from 1 species